GACGAACGCUGGCGGCGUGCCUAAUACAUGCAAGUCGAACGCAUUUUCUUUCACCGUAGCUUGCUACACCGAAAGAAAAUGAGUGGCGAACGGGUGAGUAACACGUGGGUAACCUGCCCAUCAGCGGGGGAUAACACUUGGAAACAGGUGCUAAUACCGCAUAAUUCCAUUUACCGCAUGGCAGAUGGAUGAAAGGCGCUUUUGCGUCACUGAUGGAUGGACCCGCGGUGCAUUAGCUAGUUGGUGGGGCAACGGCCUACCAAGGCUGCGAUGCAUAGCCGACCUGAGAGGGUGAUCGGCCACACUGGGACUGAGACACGGCCCAG
rnacentral:rRNA from 1 species